rnacentral:rRNA from 1 species
AGAGUUUGAUCCUGGCUCAGAAUGAACGCUGGCGGCGUGCUUAACACAUGCAAGUCGUACGAGAACUCUUCUGCUUGCAGAAGAUAGUAAAGUGGCGCACGGGUGAGUAGCGCGUGGGUAAUCUACCUCUGAAUCUGGGAUAACCCGCCGAAAGGCGAGCUAAUACCGAAUAACAUCCUUAAAACUUCGGUUUUUAGGAUCAAAGGUGGUCUCUACAUGUAAGCUACUGUUUGGAGAUGAGCCCGCGUACCAUUAGCUUGUUGGUAGGGUAAUGGCCUACCAAGGCCGCGAUGGUUAGCUGGUCUGAGAGGAUGAUCAGCCACACUGGAACUGACACACGGUCCAGACUCCUACGGGAGGCAGCAGUGAGGAAUUUUGCGCAAUGGGGGAAACCCUGACGCAGCAACGCCGCGUGAGUGAUGAAGGCUUUCGGGUCGUAAAGCUCUGUCAAGUGGGAAGAACCUGCUCGAUGCUAAUACCAUCUAGCACUGACGGUACCACUAAAGGAAGCACCGGCUAACUCCGUGCCAGCAGCCGCGGUAAUACGGGGGGUGCAAGCGUUAUUCGGAAUUAUUGGGCGUAAAGGGAGCGCAGGUGGUCCUGCAGGUCAGAUGUGAAAGCCCGGGGCUUAACCCCGGAAGUGCUUUUGAAACUGGCAGUCUUGAGUAUGGGAGAGGAAAGUGGAAUUCCUGGUGUAGCGGUGAAAUGCGUAGAUAUCAGGAGGAAGGCCGGUGGCGAAGGUGGCCCUCUGGGCAAUGACUGACGCUGAGGCGCGAAAGCGUGGGGAGCAAACAGGAUUAGAUACCCUGGUAGUCCACGCCCUAAACGGUGCGUACUAGGUGUGGGUGGCGAUAGUCAUCCGUGCCGUAGGGAAACCAUUAAGUACGCCGCCUGGGGAGUACGGCCGCAAGGUUGAAACUCAAAUGAAUUGACGGGGGCCCGCACAAGCGGUGGAGCAUGUGGUUUAAUUCGACGCUACGCGCAAAACCUUACCUGGGCUUGACAUGUUUGUGGUAGGAACCCGAAAGGGUGACGACUUUGGGGUAACUCAUUGAGCCUGCACAGGUGCUGCAUGGCUGUCGUCAGCUCGUGCCGUGAGGUGUUGGGUUAAGUCCCGCAACGAGCGCAACCCCUAUUCUCUGUUGGUCCUGAAAGGGAUCUCUCUGAGGAAACUGCCAGCGAUGAGCUGGAGGAAGGUGGGGAUGACGUCAAGUCAUCGUGGCCCUUACGUCCAGGGCGACACACGUGCUACAAUGGCAGCUACAGAGGGUCGCAAGACCGCGAGGUGGAGCCAAUCCCUAAAAGCUGUCUCAGUUGGGAUCGGAGUCUGCAACUCGACUCCGUGAACGCGGAAUCGCUAGUAAUCGUGGAUCAGCCAUGCCACGGUGAAUACGUUCCCGGGCCUUGUACACACCGCCCGUCACACCACGAAAGCCUGUUGUACCCGAAGCAGGUGCGCUAACCCGCAAGGGAGGCAGCCUCCUAAGGUAUGACCGGUGAUUGGGGUGAAGUCGUAACAAGGUAACCA